GAAAGAGGGAGAUAAUGUAGAAA
rnacentral:piRNA from 1 species